UUACUUUCAAGAUGGCUGCUGCCUGAAUAAUGGACCAUUGUUCCGGUUUGUAGAAUAUAUUUCCGCUUCAUGUUUUUGCUAUGCAAACCAGUUAAAAUGUAACAGCUGAACUUUAUUGUGCAGUAGGAUUAACAGCCAGGUAAAGUCUGGGCUUUCUUCAUUGCCAUCCAAAUUGGUUUCAUCACAUGGAGAACUUCACAACAAUUCAAGUUGUAACCACCAGGUUUUUUCUAGGUUUCCAAGUCCCUCCUCUUGCCUGUGCAAGUGAUAAUGAAUUCAUUCAAUAAUUCAACUAUCAAGUAUUGAAAGGAGAAUUUUUUAGCAAUGGAAGUCCCUGGUCACGAGGAUUAAAUUUGUGCGUUUAUUGUUAAGGACUUGGUGAUAAUGGUAUGCAUCAGUCUGCUGCAUGCAGUCUAUGGAUCUGGUGUUAUGCUAAAAUGUAGACUCAAGACCUGAGGGCUGAGGUGGAACUGCAAGAAGACUUAAGCAAUUUAAUUGUUUAACAGCCAGGUGAAAUUUCUUCUUCAUUGCUGUAUAAAACAACAAAUGGUUUUUGGUUACGGUCAGCCGGUUCAAGGUGUCGUUAAAUCAAGUUCAGCUGUUGCAUGGAGUAUGUGAUUGCCGGCGUUAUCCUGAAGUGUGUUGGUGUUCUGUCAAAAAUUGUUCUGCUUGUUUGUAAUUAGAGUAUUGUUUGAAGUAGUCUAUGAUGUAGAAAGUGCAUAUCUGGGCUCCUUCUUGUCUGUCCCUAACUAACUAACAUCAGCUGGUGGUUACUGGUCAUUCACCCGCUGUGAAAUCAGGAGGGAUGAGGAGGGUUUUAGUUGAAUGGGCACUUGGAAGGGGUAUGAUAUGAUCUGGUAUCUGAUUAAAACUUUUUGAGAGUUAUGAGUGUAACCCGGAAGUCUACUACGAUUAAUUGCUCCCUAGCAAACUGGCCUUUGCUAUAUUUCCAUAAUAAUUUUAAUAAGACUGUUGAUAGUUAUACUAUAUUCAUAAAAUCUUUAAAACACAAUAAAAUAUACAUAUAUUGCUUAAAUUUA